rnacentral:rRNA from 1 species
CAGCAGCCGCGGUAAUACGUAGGUGGCAAGCGUUGUCCGGAAUUAUUGGGCGUAAAGGGCUCGCAGGCGGUUUCUUAAGUCUGAUGUGAAAGCCCCCGGCUCAACCGGGGAGGGUCAUGGGAAACUGGGAAACUUGAGUGCAGAAGAGGAGAGUGGAAUUCCACGUGUAGCGGUGAAAUGCGUAGGGAUGUGGAGGAACACCAGUGGCGAAGGCGACUCUCUGGUCUGUAACUGACGCUGAGGAUCGAAAGCGUGGGGAGCGAACAGGAUUAGAUACCCCGGUAGUCCCUGUCUCUUAUAU